GAUGAACGCUGGCGGCGUGCCUAAUACAUGCAAGUCGAGCGAACGGACGAGAAGCUUGCUUCUCUGAUGUUAGCGGCGGACGGGUGAGUAACACGUGGAUAACCUCCCUAUAAGACUGGGAUAACUUCGGGAAACCGGCGCUAAUACCGGAUAAUAUUUUGAACCGCAUGGUUCAAAAGUGAAAGACGGUCUUGCUGUCACUUAUAGAUGGAUCCGCGCUGCAUUAGCUAGUUGGUAAGGUAACGGCUUACCAAGGCAACGAUGCAUAGCCGACCUGUGAGGGUGAUCGGCGACACUGGAGGUGAGACACGGUCCAGACGCCUACGGGAGGCAGCAGUAGGGAAUCGUCCGCAAUAGGCGAAAGCCUGACGGAGCGACGCCGCGUGAGUGAUGAAGGUCUUCGGAUCGGAAAACUCUGUUAUUAGGGAAGAACAGAUGUGUAAGUAACUGUGCACAUCGUGACGGUACCUAAUCAGAAAGCCACGGCUAACUACGUG
rnacentral:rRNA from 1 species